AGGAAGUCCAUCAGCUUGCUCGACUAGGUGUCUACUUAGUCGACUUAGCAGAGGGUAGUGUGUGGGUACAAAGUAGCUCAAAAUUAUCCUAGUUUCGGAGGUGAAAGAAAAAAAAGAUAGAGAUCCCAGUCUAGUUAUGUUGAAAAAAUCAGUCAGAGAUCAGAAGGUAGAGGUUUUGUCCCAUGGGGAAGAUGGUGUGCUGCGUUGUCAGUGGUGGGUAUGUAUGCCUGAUAUAGAUAACUUGAG
rnacentral:lncRNA from 1 species